GGGUUGUGAGGUUAAGCGACUAAGCGUACACGGUGGAUGCCCUGGCAGUCAGAGGCGAUGAAGGACGUGCUAAUCUGCGAAAAGCGCCGGCGAGGUGAUAUGAACCUUUGACCCGGCGAUGUCCGAAUGGGGAAACCCAGUGUGAUUCGUCACACUAUCGUUAACUGAAUACAUAGGUUAACGAGGCGAACCGGGGGAACUGAAACAUCUAAGUACCCCGAGGAAAAGAAAUCAACCGAGAUUCCCCCAGUAGCGGCGAGCGAACGGGGAGCAGCCCAGAGUCUGAAUCAGCUUGUGUGUUAGUGGAAGCGUCUGGAAAGUCGCACGGUACAGGGUGACAGUCCCGUACACGAAAGCACACUUGCUGUGAACUCGAAGAGUAGGGCGGGACACGUGAUAUCCUGUCUGAAUAUGGGGGGACCAUCCUCCAAGGCUAAAUACUCCUGACUGACCGAUAGUGAACCAGUACCGUGAGGGAAAGGCGAAAAGAACCCCGGCGAGGGGAGUGAAAAAGAACCUGAAACCGUGUACGUACAAGCAGUGGGAGCACCUUCGUGGUGUGACUGCGUACCUUUUGUAUAAUGGGUCAGCGACUUAUAUUCUGUAGCAAGGUUAACCGUAUAGGGGAGCCGAAGGGAAACCGAGUCUUAACUGGGCGUUAAGUUGCAGGGUAUAGACCCGAAACCCGGUGAUCUAGCCAUGGGCAGGUUGAAGGUUGGGUAACACUAACUGGAGGACCGAACCGACUAAUGUUGAAAAAUUAGCGGAUGACUUGUGGCUGGGGGUGAAAGGCCAAUCAAACCGGGAGAUAGCUGGUUCUCCCCGAAAGCUAUUUAGGUAGCGCCUCGUGAACUCAUCUUCGGGGGUAGAGCACUGUUUCGGCUAGGGGGCCAUCCCGGCUUACCAACCCGAUGCAAACUACGAAUACCGAAGAAUGUUAUCACGGGAGACACACGGCGGGUGCUAACGUCCGUCGUGAAGAGGGAAACAACCCAGACCGCCAGCUAAGGUCCCAAAGUCAUGGUUAAGUGGGAAACGAUGUGGGAAGGCACAGACAGCCAGGAUGUUGGCUUAGAAGCAGCCAUCAUUUAAAGAAAGCGUAAUAGCUCACUGGUCGAGUCGGCCUGCGCGGAAGAUGUAACGGGGCUAAACCAUGCACCGAAGCUGCGGCAGCGACACUAUGUGUUGUUGGGUAGGGGAGCGUUCUGUAAGCCGUUGAAGGUGUGCUGUGAGGCAUGCUGGAGGUAUCAGAAGUGCGAAUGCUGACAUAAGUAACGAUAAAGCGGGUGAAAAGCCCGCUCGCCGGAAGACCAAGGGUUCCUGUCCAACGUUAAUCGGGGCAGGGUGAGUCGACCCCUAAGGCGAGGCCGAAAGGCGUAGUCGAUGGGAAACAGGUUAAUAUUCCUGUACUUGGUGUUACUGCGAAGGGGGGACGGAGAAGGCUAUGUUAGCCGGGCGACGGUUGUCCCGGUUUAAGCAUGUAGGCGGAGGUUCCAGGUAAAUCCGGUACCUUUUAACGCUGAGGUGUGAUGACGAGGCACUACGGUGCUGAAGUAACAAAUGCCCUGCUUCCAGGAAAAGCCUCUAAGCAUCAGGUAACAUUAAAUCGUACCCCAAACCGACACAGGUGGUCAGGUAGAGAAUACCAAGGCGCUUGAGAGAACUCGGGUGAAGGAACUAGGCAAAAUGGUGCCGUAACUUCGGGAGAAGGCACGCUGAUAUGUAGGUGAAGCCCCUGCGGGUGGAGCUGAAAUCAGUCGAAGAUACCAGCUGGCUGCAACUGUUUAUUAAAAACACAGCACUGUGCAAACACGAAAGUGGACGUAUACGGUGUGACGCCUGCCCGGUGCCGGAAGGUUAAUUGAUGGGGUUAGCGGCAACGCGAAGCUCUUGAUCGAAGCCCCGGUAAACGGCGGCCGUAACUAUAACGGUCCUAAGGUAGCGAAAUUCCUUGUCGGGUAAGUUCCGACCUGCACGAAUGGCGUAAUGAUGGCCAGGCUGUCUCCACCCGAGACUCAGUGAAAUUGAACUCGCUGUGAAGAUGCAGUGUACCCGCGGCAAGACGGAAAGACCCCGUGAACCUUUACUAUAGCUUGACACUGAACACUGGUCCUUGAUGUGUAGGAUAGGUGGGAGGCUUUGAAGUGUGGACGCCAGUCUGCGUGGAGCCGUCCUUGAAAUACCACCCUUUAAUGGCUGGUGUUCUAACGUAGACCCGUGAUCCGGGUUGCGGACAGUGUCUGGUGGGUAGUUUGACUGGGGCGGUCUCCUCCCAAAGAGUAACGGAGGAGCACGAAGGUUAGCUAAUCCUGGUCGGACAUCAGGAGGUUAGUGCAAUGGCAUAAGCUAGCUUGACUGCGAGAGUGACGGCUCGAGCAGGUGCGAAAGCAGGUCAUAGUGAUCCGGUGGUUCUGAAUGGAAGGGCCAUCGCUCAACGGAUAAAAGGUACUCCGGGGAUAACAGGCUGAUACCGCCCAAGAGUUCAUAUCGACGGCGGUGUUUGGCACCUCGAUGUCGGCUCAUCACAUCCUGGGGCUGAAGUAGGUCCCAAGGGUAUGGCUGUUCGCCAUUUAAAGUGGUACGCGAGCUGGGUUUAGAACGUCGUGAGACAGUUCGGUCCCUAUCUGCCGUGGGCGCUGGAGAAUUGAGGGGGGCUGCUCCUAGUACGAGAGGACCGGAGUGGACGCAUCACUGGUGUUCGGGUUGUCAUGCCAAUGGCACUGCCCGGUAGCUAAAUGCGGAAAAGAUAAGUGCUGAAAGCAUCUAAGCACGAAACUUGCCCCGAGAUGAGUUCUCCCUGAGACUAUAAGUCUCCUGAAGGAACGUUGAAGACGACGACGUUGAUAGGUCGGGUGUGUAAGCGCAGCGAUGCGUUGAGCUAACCGAUACUAAUGAACCGUGAGGCUUAACCUUACAACGCCGAAGGUGUUU
rnacentral:rRNA from 2 species